GUUAUAUUGGGACUGAAAUUUAUAUUAAUUACCUAUGAAAAAAAUGGAAAACUGCUCAUAGGCAUUCCUAGGACUAUGACUUGACGCAGAAAUCCUAUGAAGUUAGGCCGCAGAAGCUCAAACCUCGAUAAUACCCGACAUUUACGAAUUGGUUCACCAAAAUUUCUUGAAGCUGACUAUCUACUGCAAUACGGAGUUUGCUCUCAGGAGUUUGGCCGAAUAUCCCCCACAAAUGUUUUAUAAAACCCAUCAUAUUAUUUGCUUUAUGAAUA